CUUCUGGUUAAUGAGGUUUCAAUACCUUAUUUGCUGGAAGGAAUAUCUUCCGGUCAGUCAGUUCUUUGUGCCUCACAGACUGGAAGGAACCCCUUCUGGUCAAUGAGGUAUAACAACCUCACUGACUGGAAUGGUUCCUUCCAUUCAAUGAGGUAUUACAACCUCAUCAACCAGAAU
rnacentral:miRNA from 1 species